UGCUCUCUAGCAAUGCCAAGCAGCUGUAAAGCUUUUAGUCUGCUGCUCAAGCUGGAAUUACAGCUGCUUUGCAUCACUAGGCUGGUACAGAGCAGUCAGAGCACGUCUGGGUUUGUAUAGAGCUUUUUCAACAGGGUAAUUCACCCGGUAUGCACACAAUAGGGAAUGCGUGCAGCACCUAGAGAAAGUAUGUAGGUGAGUGAGAGCUCUGAUGACAUGAUCAAAUCAUAGCUUCGUUACAGGCUAGGCCUUUAAACUGUGAGGUUUGUACUGAAUUCCAAAGUUUAUCUUUUCUUCUAUUAUAUCUGUUCUCUCUGAGUAGCAAAACGCUUACAAUAUGCACAAUGCGGUGCGCUAUUUAUAUUUCACAUCAUAACGUUUCUCUGCAUUUGUAAUUUUUUACAUGAUUUCCAGUAUUUUAAUUUGACUCACUAAGGCAACAGCGUGCAUUUUGGGGCACGCUCCUUAAGUGUGCAUUACCCUGCCACACACGCUGUGCUUCCAGGGUGCCCGGUGUCCUAAGAGCUCCUGCAGUGCCCGAGAGGAGGUGGGAGAACUCUGGCAGGGAAGGUCUGUUUUCCGCUGGUGUAAAGAGCCCUCUGCACCAGCCCCUCGGACCUGGACAUUGCCCCUUCCCCGGUCCUUGCGAGUACCGAUGCCUCAACCCUACGCUGCAGGGCAAUUGAUGGUGGCUGGGAAGCGGGGCAGAACCCCGGACGGGCCACCGCCUCCCCGGGGCGACACGUGGCUCCGGCGCGUCCCGGGGCUGGGGAAUUAUGCGGUGCAGUCCCGGUGGAGUUCCUCUGCCAGUCUGCGGUGGAGGGCCUUUCACAGCUUCGUUUUUGUUGUUUUUUUGUUGUGUGGUUUUUUUGUUUGUUUGUUUGUUUUGUUUGAUUGUUUGGGGUUUUUUUUCCCUUCCCUCUCUAUCCGUCCAGGUUUUCUUUAAAAAAAAAACCCAAACUUUUUUCUUCUUUACUUUUUUUUUUUUCCUCUUGCAAGAGCCACUCCGUGGAAAGACGGGGUGGUGAAAGAGGGAGAAACCCCUCCCCUUCCCCUCCCCCGUGGCUCCUUCCUCGGAAAAGAAACAUUUUGGGGGUUUCCUCGCCUCCUACCCCUCCCCUCCCUUCUGUGCUCCUCCGCUCCCCGCAGCCGAAGCCGCGCCGCCCCCUGUAAGUCGCGUACCGGCCCCUUUGUGACCGAAGGGGCUGGGGGGAGAAUGCUGAGCGCGGCAGGGAGCGGGGCCGCCUCCGUUUGGCUUCGGGGCGGGAGAGCAGCUCCGCUGUCGCCCCGGCACUGAGCGCUCGCUCGCACCGGAGGCAGCGCCGCCCGCCCGUGGCCCCGGAGAUGCCGAGAGUAUGUGUCUCUGUCUCCACUGUACCUGCGCAGAGAGGGCCAACUUCGGCUUCCAGAUGACAGCUUCAAACAAGCAGCCAGUGCCUCGUACCCUCCUCACUCCAGCUGUGAUUUCUGUGAAGUUGGUGGUCGCUUUGUGCAAGGACAGAGCUGGGGUUGGGUGGUGUAAAUUCUUAAUUGCUGUCACUAAUACUGCAGUUGCAUUGCUGAAAAACAAAGGAGAUGUGCUUUAGAGCUGUGGUUUUUUCCCUUGUUUCUCUUUUUCUCUGUCCCCACUGGGAAUGUUUUGCACUUUUUUCCUAGUCUUUCCCUUCAGCUUCUUGCCACCUCUCUCUCCCCUUGCCACCCACAGGCUUCUCUGUCCUGAUUUCUGCAGCCUUGGUUUGGUCAGCAAUAAAGAGAUAGUGCCAAUUCUUAAAUAUGACAUCAUUUGGGUCAGGUUGAUACUGUGGUUAGAUUAAUAAAAGCUGUGGGGAGGUGUUGUGUUCCUGAGCUGUUAUUCCAGGCUGCUGCAGACCUCAGCCUAGUGGUGCUUGCCAAAAGCUCACAAGAUGGGAGAGGAAGGCACAUGCACCUCUGUAAUUUAAAAUGUGGAUGGGAUAGUGCGAGAGCUGAGUAAGCCCCUACAGGGAUGAUAUCUUUUUAGAGAGUAAAGGUGUUAAGCAUGUAUGUCAUUAGGAGGCAUAUUUACUUAAAAUAACGCAAUGUAAUGCUACAUUAUUUAGAUCCUUGAUUACAUGUAAGUAGAGGGCAGUAAGAAGGCAAGUAUGAUAGCAGCUUAACAUCUUUCAUCCUCUCAGGUUUGCAUUUGUGCAUAUCCUGCAUCCUUCAGCCUCAGUAAGGUGUUUAUUAGGUAACCAUUUUGCUGAAAUUAGCCUCAACCUUAAAAAAAAAAAAAAAAAAAAAAAAAAAAAAAAAAAAAAAAAAAGGCACGGUGCUAUUUGGUGUAGCAGGAUUUGGCGACUUUGUGUUAGUGGGUGAUCAAAAUGAUGAGUGGAAUUUUUCUUCCCCCUCGCCCCUCACCAAUUGCAAGGUUUCAAGUUAAGAUCUAGAAGUGAGAGGUGUAGAAAAUCUUACUUUUAAUACUUCUGGAAAUCAAUGCUUCUGUUCAAUAGUUAUUUAAUGUAAAAAUAGUUAUUUAGUGUAAAAAUGUAAAUUCAAUUUUAGUAGAAUUUAGUUUAGUAGAAACCAGCUAAAUGCUGGUUUGUGUUGUCUUUGGAGACUUCAGAGCUGCCCCUUAUUUUCAUCCUGUUCAGUGGAGAAAUGAAAAGGCCUGUGUGCACUUCACAGGAAAUGAGUGUCUGAUACAGGCUUGCAGGCUGCACAUUUCCAAGAACCGCUCUCAAGGUAUUUUGGUAAUGCACAUUCUCUCUGCCUUCUCCCUUCCUGCUCCUCCUGCACUUUGUGUGCUUCUGCUUGUUUGCAGACACGUGAAGGCUGAGGGGAAGAAUCAAAUAGUGCUACUAUUAAGUUUGCAGAUGGGCUCCUUUAGCUUUAUACUGGAGCAGUGGCUGGCAAAAUUGGGUUAAGCUGGCAGCAUUCAGUUGCAUUUGUUGCAGACGGAUUUUGUCCUUCCCCUCAUUCCCUGCAAAUGCUGAAGAAAAAUUUUGACUUCAGAUUGUGACUUGUGCAGCAAGGAAAUUUUUUGUGUGUAUGUGAUUCUGCAGUUCAGAAACAGUUUGGAUCUACUUUCAUACUUCCUCAGUAGCAAAGUUUAUUUGGAAACUUAGGCUAAAGCUUAGAAAAUGAGUGUGGCUAUUAGCAGUUGGAAAAUGCCAGAGAUCUGCAAUCUGAACUGUGUAGCUGGGCUUCUGCACAUCCUGCUGAAGCUAAGGGGGUUCAGCAUAAGUUUGCCUCAGUUCACACACUAGUGGUGAUGAGCAGAAGUUUGUGCAAGAAUGGUUUGUUGGUAUGCUUUUUGAUAGACCAGCAGUGUUGUUCUUUAUCCAUAUUUUAGUUCUUCCUUGUUUUUUUGUGAGAUUUUGUGGUGUGAAAGGAGGGAAGUUGGAGCUUGAGAAACAUUUACUGCUUUAUCAGUAAACACUGAAAUCUGCUGUUUGUGUAGGGUGCAUGCUGAUAUUCAAGUCAGCAUACCCAGAGAAGGAAAACAUGGACAGAACUGUUUUAACUCUGCAACAGGUCCAUAGUUGAUUGCUCAUAUUGACUUCUUAUACCCUUGUUUACUAUUUCAGUUUUGCACAAAGGGCAUUUAUGCGUUCUGCUGGGCUUCCCUUAGUGUAAUGUCAGGUUUGAAUGGUUAAGAGGUGUCUUUAAAAGGUAUUGCUAAAAAACCCAGCCCUUUGUUGCUGGAUUCCUGUACCUAAGGUCUGCUAAAGCAUGACAUAGUGGGUGCAGCACAGAACCAAAGCAAAGACAUUUGAGAGAGAAAUGAGAUUCAUCAGAUCAGCUCUCUCUUUCCCCAGUCUAUAUGAUUGGAAUUUUUCCUUUUGUGAGUUUUAAAAUUAGUUAUUUUUCAAUCUUUGUCACCUUUGAACUUUCUCUCAUCUGGUUUUCUGAAAGAAUACAAAAAGAAUGUCCUGAUUGUAUUGUAUCUUUCUCUGGCAUUCUCUUGUGUGUAUGUAUCUAUAUCUAUAUCUAUAUCUAUAUCUAUAUCUAUAUCUAUAUCUAUAUCUAUAUCUAUAUCUAUAUCUAUAUCUAUAUCUAUAUCUAUAUCUAUAUCUAUAUCUAUAUCUAUAUCUAUAUCUAUAUCUAUAUCUAUAUCUAUGCUCUCUAAACUGAGCAUGAAAUUUCUCCAGUCUCUCUCUGUACAGUUAUGUGUUGCUUCUUAUUACCUAUCUUUAGGCCUAUUCUCUUCGUUUCAGCUCUGUGUUUUUAUUUCAGGUGACUAGAACUGACUGUAUUCUCUCAGGUGGUGACAUUACUGUUAUGUUCCCACCCAUCCCUUUUGCACCCUCCCACUCCUGCUUGCUUCUUGGUUUUUAAGUGACUGCGUUUGCAUUCGGAGCUGGAGCUUUCCUUAAUGAACCAUAAGCACUGUUACUUGGCUCAUUGGCCAGCUGCAUCACUUAAUUUAUUGCUCUUGAAAAUACAGACCCAGCUGGUUUUCCUACAAGUCUGUGUGCAUUUGCAUGUGUCAGGACAGUCUUGCCUGACCUCCUCCUGCUUUCCUGCUGAUGAAUUUUGAAUGACCUCUGACUUCUCUGUCCUGCAGAGAGUGAUUUUGUCACUGUUUACCCUUGGAAGACAAUGGAGAGGGCUUGCUAUGUUUUGAGUUGGCUGCCUAGAUUUAAGUAACAUGAGGGUGUAAGCUGCCUGCUAGGGGGCAAGGUUAGGCCUCGGAGGUUUGAGGUGUUGUGGGUAAUAACAGCUUGAAGACAGGGAAAGACAAUUCUAGGAAAAGACCUGGAUCAGCAUCUGAGUUUGCACAGUCAGGGGGAGGGAGCUUCUUGCAUGAGAGAUGGAAGAGCCUUUGGGCUGCUUGUAGCCACCAGCCUGUUGAGGAGGUGGGAUCCUCUGCAAAGUGGGCUGAGUCGAACCAUGGGGAAGAUGCAAUGGAUGGUAGGGUGGAAGGGAGGUGACCAGAUGUGUAGGGGCUGAAAUGCCUUGGUUUCCUCUGGUCAUCCCUCUUUCACCUCCCAUUCACCCUGUGGCAUGGCUGCUCCACAUCUUCUGCCCAUCUGCUGUACAGGUCCUGGCAUGCUGCUGGCUCUUUAGCUUCUGUAUCUCACUUUCUGACUUGCUUGGGGAAAGCAUAAAGCGUGUCCUGUCAUCUCUUGCUUCUUCAGGUGCCACCUGCCUGAUGGGGAGCUCUGGCUGGGGGUUGGCUCUCCCCCACACCAGGUAGCCUUGUGCUGCUCCUGCCUUAGCAGCACAUGUCAAAAAGAGUUCCUUCCAAUACUUGCAGCCCUCUGGCAAUUGCUAGUGCAGUUGAUUUGAUUGAGAGAACAUCUCUCUUUGUGUAUCAACCAUCCAUUUCCAAUUCAGAAUCUCUGGGUAUAGUCCACCAUGCCCAGCUGGCUUUCUGCUUUUAUGUCACCUUCCCCCAUCUUUUCUGAUUGAACACCCUCUUUUUUCCUUUCAGGGUAAUCAGCAUUAAAUACUGGGAAAUCUCCUCAACAUCCUGUGCAAGAAAAAAAAAAUACCUGCUUGCUUGUGUAACUUUUCUGCAGUAUCCCUGUCCCCACUAGCUGGUAUCGCACUCAACUAAAUUGUUCCCCCAGAGGUUUUCUGUUUCUGAUAAACUGAAAAUGCCAUAUGUUUUCUGGGUUUUGUUUCAUUUAUCUUGGCCACCUACUGUCCCAGUUUCAUGACAGCCAUCCUCAUAUAAAUUUGUUCCCUACCGUCAAUAAUUUAUAUUCCUUUAUAUUGGCUCCUCCAGGAUUAUUUUUUCAUUUUCUGAAAGAUUUUUGAGGUUGUAGAGAGAUUUGAAUAGGGACUUUGGUUUUGUAGUGUGUGUGUGUUUGAUAUCUCUGAUCCACAGCAGAAGCCCUUGCAAACUGUUGCACCUAUAGCUAAUACCUGCACUGUGACCUGUGUUGUCCCCCAAGCCUGUCCUCUUAGCCAGGCAGCAUCUCUGUCAUCAUUUGUGGGAAGUCUGCACACUCUGUCACUUAAGAUUUCCUACAUAACCUUUCAUGAUUUUUUUUUAAUUCUUUUUACUUUUGACUCUCAGGACUAGUUUCUUUAUUUUGUGUGUUGGAAAUCCUCCACUAUAAAACUUAGUGUUGUGGUGCAUCUGUGCUUUCUGACCCUCGCCCUUUCCUUUGAAGGCACAGUAACUGGUACUGUGUUAUGGCCCCUCACAUCUUUUGAAGCUAGUCCUUCCGAAGAAUCAGGGCAGUGUGUUUCCCUUGUCCUCCUGUGCUUGUGUUGGUUAAUCAUCUGGGACUCCUCUUGCAGCAUAGUUCUGGUAAGGAUACUGAACCAGUUUUAGCUGCAGACACUGCUCAUUUCUUGGAGUUAGCUGCUUCUUUGAGUUUCUUUCCAGCUCAAUGUGAUCCUUUUGACAAAAAGCCAUGGUCAUCACAGGGACGACUGAUGGCCUUUGGUCUCAGGAUUUACUCAUUUCCUCAAACAGCGUUCUGGAACAAAAUCAGUUUAGUAGAGAAAGGCAGAGGAAAUGUACCUGUGCUCCUGUUCUGGGGGUGGGGGGAGCUGGUAGUGCUGAGGAGCCAUGAUGGGUUGGAUGCAGCCCUGGGCAUCUCUACCCCCUUCCCACUGAUCCCCCUCUCAUCAGGGAGACUAGACAGAGCAUUUCAAGUAGGGAGACAUAAGGGACUGCUGUUAUCUUGGCUUCUUCUUCCUUCAUGUGCCCUCUCCCCCAUCUCCUUGUUUCUGCCCUCAAACUGAGCUUCAGCCACCUUUCCAGAGGGCUGCUUCCUGAGCCGGUAUGUGGUGUGGAGGGAGGGACAGCAAGACAGCAGCACAGACUCUGUGUUCCCUGGCCAAGUACACAGGGCUGAGGUUUUGUGUAGCUGUGCAGCACUGACAUUCACAGGAAUGGCUGCUCACUGUGAAACUGCAAAGGUCAGGAGCAAUGCGACUGGGCUUCCCUCACUUACCAAAAAUGCUGUUGGCCAGAGGCAAGCAACAACUCUUUGCUUAAGCCAUAGCAGGAUAGGCUCAGCUGCAGCUUUGGAACUUAGUACUAAUUCCUCCUGAUUUUUUUUUUCCUUCUUGUUUCCCCAGUUAAAGGAGAAGGCAGAAAUAAUUCAGUCUCCAGUAGAAGAUGUCUUUGGCAGAAGUCACAUGGUAGUUUUGGUAGUUUUACUUGCUGUGGAAUAAGCUGUAGUUGCUUGUGGCUACUGCAGAGCAGCCUCUGAGUUCAGAGAAGUGAUGAGGCUUCUCUGUUAUACCAAAAUGGCAGGAUUACAGUUUCACACUGGGCUAUUUUGAUGAGGAAUAGACUCUUUUAUUUGAAAGUAUUUCUGAACGUGUGUAGUAUUUGAAAGGUUUGAGGAGGGGACCCUAAAAAUGGAUGUCUUUCUUCCAGCUCCUUCAAUUAGCCCAGUAAAGACAUUUAGUUUUUCCUUUAAACUGCCACCUUGUUGAGUUUUUCAUGGAGAAACCAAAGUGCUUGCAGACUUCCCUGCCUUGGAGAGUAUUUGGCACACAUCAUACUGUCUUACUGGUUUUCUUGGAGUAAAAACAUUUUAGCCUCUAUCAGCAAAGUGCUGUAUUAAUUCAGAAAACAUAUGUCAUAGAAAACUAUGUUAAGAAGUACCAAAUAUUAAUAUCAGAUCCAUGCAAAGUUAUUUGUGUGUAUUGAAGUAUGUUCUCCAGACCCGAAAUGUUGGGAGGUGUUUGAUAGGACAGGUCUUCUUGCAAGGUGUCCAGCUGCUGAUUCCCAAAGCCUGCAUGCAGGAUCUUCCUUCACUGUGUCUCUACUGUGUGAAGUAGGAACUGCCAACAGUGUGUGUGCUGCCUCAGCUUAUUUUAUUAAAUAUUGCAUCCUUGGAUGCUGGUUGUGUAGAGAAAUGCAGUAUUGGUUUGGUGUAUAUGUGGCAUGGUUUGGGUUUUUUCCCACAUAUUCUCUCAUGUGUCAGACAUAAUGGCAGCCUCACAUCAAACUGCCAUGGCAUAAAAGGUAGAAGGAACUGCCAUGUGUCUGAGGCCUGCUUUCUGCUGGAGAAAUUGGCUGUGAUUAACAUUUGUCCUCUUGGCUGAGUUGGGCCACAUCCUCCUCUAGCCACAGCUACCUCUGUUCUCUUUGGGAGGUCUGUAUGUUCAUCUCCUUUCCCUUCCCCCUCCGUAAUCCCUUUCUGCAUCAGCCCUGGUCAUCUUGGCUGUUGCAGGGUGCUCAUGGCAAAGGGCUUUGGUGUGACCCUGCACUGUGGCAGUGACGGCGCGAUUCAAACCAGUGCCGGUGUGUGGCAGGCAGUGGAGGCCUGGGAACCCGGCUGUCCUACCAUUAAAACCUAGUGUUGUAUGCUUGGCUCUUAGCAGGGAGAUUCUUUCAGUCCUUUGCUCAAGCUUACCUUUGAAACAGUCUUCUGAGCCACAAAUCAGUAUACAGCCAUUUCUGUGUGUUGCAGACAUGCAAACAAGAGAUGUCUGCUCAGGCUCUGUUGUUUGGAGUAGGGAUGCUGCUCAGGCUCUGCUGCUUGGAGUGGGGAUGCUGUCACAAGGGCUUGCAGGAUACCUUAGGAAGAGCUUUUCCUAAUUAUCCCAGCCUCCAUCUAACUGCUCUGGGAACUGCAGGGUUGAUAUCUAGGAGAUGUCAAAGCCAAAUGGAGAGGUAAUGGGAAAGUGUAAUAAUGAGAUCGACCUCCAAUUUUGCUAGCUGCAAGUCAGUGUAGCUUGUGGGGUGUGUGCCCAGUUUGGACUGGGCUGGGGAGGAUGCAGAGAAGUGAUGUUACAUGGGUACAAGUGAAGCUCUGCAGGGACUGCCUCUGAAAGGCAUGCAGAAAGCUGGGUUUGUUUUUUCAGCUUGCUAAUGGAUCCACUGACAGACAUGUGGUCGCAUACGUGGUGGUAUGCUGCUCCACCAGGUCAGUGGGUUUACUUUUCCAUCUGCAAGGUGAGAAGGAAAAGCCUUGGGAGCUGGGGUAGCAAGGCAGAAAAGUGUGAGCCAGAACAGAUUGGGUCACAAUUAGGAUAACUCAGCAGUGAAUGGAUACCUGCGUGGUGUCAAAUAAGAUACUCUAAAUGUUGAGCUUUAUAUUCAGCACAAGUUGGGACGUUGUUGUUCUGAAUCCUAAGGUUUACUCCUGUUGUCAUCAUCUCGCAACAUUUGCGUUUUAUGGUUCCUGCUUCUGGGAGAUGAUGGCAACUUUAAAGUCUUUCCAUUUGUCCUUGGGCCACCUGUGAGCUGCCUGGACCUAAUCAGCUCAUGGCUUUGCAAGUAGCAAUAAUAAUAACAACAGCAAUAAUCUGCUAUCUCUGUUGCUAUCUGAAGUGUUUUAUACGUGUUUCUACAGUAACACAGAUCAAAGAUAGAGAAAAACAACCUGUCUCCAGAUUUGUUGUAUUUUAGAUCCACAUUACAGCAAACUAAUGGGCUUAGUCACCUGCUUGAUGGA